rnacentral:rRNA from 1 species
GAACGCUGGCGGCAUGCCUAAUACAUGCAAGUCGAACGAACCAUCCUGAUGAUUGAAGCUUGCUUCAUGAUUCAGAUCUUGGUGAGUGGCGGACGGGUGAGUAACACGUGGGUAACCUGCCCAGAAGUGGGGGAUAACAUUUGGAAACAAGUGCUAAUACCGCAUAACAACUUAGAUCACAUGAUCUUUGUUUAAAAGAUGGUUUUGCUAUCUCUUCUGGAUGGACCCGCGGCGUAUUAGCUAGUUGGUGAGGUAAUAGCUCACCAAGGCGAUGAUACGUAGCCGACCUGAGAGGGUAAUCGGCCACAUUGGGACUGAGACACGGCCCAAACUCCUACGGGAGGCAGCAGUAGGGAAUCUUCCACAAUGGACGAAAGUCUGAUGGAGCAAUGCCGCGUGAGUGAAGAAGGUUUUCGGAUCGUAAAACUCUGUUGUUGAAGAAGAAUAUAUGUGAGAGUAACUGUUCACGUACUGACGGUAUUCAACCAGAAAGCCACGGCUAACUACGUGCCAGCAGCCGCGGUAAUACGUAGGUGGCAAGCGUUGUCCGGAUUUAUUGGGCGUAAAGAGAAUGUAGGCGGUUUAUUAAGUUUGAAGUGAAAGCCCUCGGCUCAACCGAGGAAGUGCUUCGAAAACUGGUAAACUUGAGUGCAGAAGAGGAAAGUGGAACUCCAUGUGUAGCGGUGGAAUGCGUAGAUAUAUGGAAGAACACCAGUGGCGAAGGCGGCUUUCUGGUCUGUAACUGACGCUGAGAUUCGAAAGCAUGGGUAGCAAACAGGAUUAGAUACCCUGGUAGUCCAUGCCGUAAACGAUGAGUGCUAAGUGUUGGAGGGUUUCCGCCCUUCAGUGCUGCAGCUAACGCAUUAAGCACUCCGCCUGGGGAGUACGAUCGCAAGAUUGAAACUCAAAGGAAUUGACGGGGGCCCGCACAAGCGGUGGAGCAUGUGGUUUAAUUCGAAGCAACGCGAAGAACCUUACCAGGUCUUGACAUACCAUGAAAAGCUUAGAGAUAAGUCUUUCCCUUCGGGGACAUGGAUACAGGUGGUGCAUGGUUGUCGUCAGCUCGUGUCGUGAGAUGUUGGGUUAAGUCCCGCAACGAGCGCAACCCUUAUUAUCAGUUGCCAGCAUUCAGUUGGGCACUCUGGUGAGACUGCCGGUGAUAAACCGGAGGAAGGUGGGGACGACGUCAAAUCAUCAUGCCCCUUAUGACCUGGGCUACACACGUGCUACAAUGGUCGGUACAACGUGCUGCGAACUCGCGAGGGCAAGCAAAUCACUUAAAACCGAUCUCAGUUCGGAUUGUAGGCUGCAACUCGCCUACAUGAAGCUGGAAUCGCUAGUAAUCGCGGAUCAGCAUGCCGCGGUGAAUACGUUCCCGGGCCUUGUACACACCGCCCGUCACACCAUGAGAGUUUGUAACACCCAAAGUCGGUGGGGUAACCCUUCGGGGAACUAGCCGCCUAAGGUGGGACAAAUGAUUAGGG